rnacentral:rRNA from 1 species
UACGGAGGAUCCAAGCGUUAUCCGGAUUUAUUGGGUUUAAAGGGUGCGUAGGCGGACCUUUAAGUCAGUGGUGAAAGUUUGCGGCUCAACCGUAAAAUUGCCAUUGAAACUGAAGGUCUUGAGUGUAAAUAAGGUAGGCGGAAUGUGUUGUGUAGCGGUGAAAUGCUUAGAUAUAACACAGAACACCAAUUGCGAAGGCAGCUUACUGGGAUACAACUGACGCUGAGGCACGAAAGCGUGGGGAUCAAACAGG